rnacentral:lncRNA from 1 species
GGAGACGUUUCAUCAACGAUAGCUAUGCUGCAUAGAUCAUUUAGAAGCCAGCACUUCCAGGUGUUGCUGAAAUAAAGCAGGACACAGAGUGAUGGAAAAGCUCAGAGACAUGGACAGCUCAUCUCUCCCGAACUCCUGUGCUUCGUCCUCGAGUCUCCUGCAUAACAUUGACUCAUGAGGAGCUGUCAUCUGUCAGAAUGAAUGGCGGACCCUGGAGGAGACCUAUAAACGGGCCAACCCCUUUUUCUUUACUAUUUUGUUCUGAGCUUUUGUUGCAUGUACCUGCCAUAGGAGCAAUUUGCACAGGACCUGCACUCUUGAGAAGGGAAGCUCUCCUUCUUAAAGGAAUUUGGAAUCUUCAUCCUUUGUGUUUUUAUUAGAUCUGAUCAUCAUCCCCUCCCAGUGAAGUGAUAACAUCUAAUAAGCCAUAACUUCCUGGACUCAGAGGCUUGGAACUCAGUUGUGAAUCACCACCCAUGAUGUUACUGCCUGGUUAUCGCAGUAUGAAGUGACAUACAAAUAAGAAAAGUCCUUAUUUGUGAGACUUGAGCUUUGCAGCCCAGUUUUACAUUCUCCCUUCCCUCCCCUUUCAGAUUUUGCAAACAAUAGGUCUAUGAUGACAGCCUCAGCUCUACACACACCUCCCUGGGCUC